AGAUGACAAAUGUGAGACAGUACAAUGUCUGGUGCUCCCCGUAUCCCUGUAUUGGGGAUGUCAGGGAGAAGGCACAUGGGGCUCUUUGACAGAUGAGGCUGUUCCUUGUUGCUCAGUAAAGAGCAGAAGUGCAAGCUCAGAGAUCAAGACAUCAUCCACAGCCAGAAAACCACAACACUGACUCUGGAAAGGGAAUAGGGUCCUCUAUUCUUUGCUUCCUGUGACCUGUUAUCAAAAAAUAAACGAUUGUGGCACUUUGCGCUUUGACUGAGGAAAUGAAGAAUUUAGAGGAGGCUGAGAGGGAUUACAAAGGUUGGUGGAA
rnacentral:lncRNA from 1 species